CCUUCGGGUUGUAAAGCUCUUUUGUCAGGGAAGAAACGGUAUUGCCUAAUAAGUGAUACUAAUGACGGUACCUGAAGAAUAAGCACCGGCUAACUACGUGC
rnacentral:rRNA from 1 species